rnacentral:misc_RNA from 1 species
GAUGAAGAACGUAGCGAAAUGCGAUACGUAAUGUGAAUUGCAGAAUUCAGUGAAUCAUCGAGUCUUUGAACGCACAUUGCGCCCCCUGGUAUUCCGGGGGGCAUGCCUGUCCGAGCGUCAUUGCUGCCCUCAAGCACGGCUUGUGUGUUGGGCCCCGCCCCCCGGCUCCCGGGGGGCGGGCCCGAAAGGCAGCGGCGGCACCGCGUCCGGUCCUCGAGCGUAUGGGGCUUCGUCGCCCGCUCCGUAGGCCCGGCCGGCGCCCGCCGGCGACCCCCCUCAAUCUUUUCAGGUUGACCUCGGAUCAGGUAGGGAUACCCGCUGAACUUAAGCAUAUCAAUAAGCGGAGGA